AGUGAACGCUGGCGGUAGGCCUAACACAUGCAAGUCGAACGGCAGCACAGGAGAGCUUGCUCUCUGGGUGGCGAGUGGCGGACGGGUGAGGAAUACAUCGGAAUCUACUCUGUCGUGGGGGAUAACGUAGGGAAACUUACGCUAAUACCGCAUACGACCUACGGGUGAAAGCAGGGGACCUUCGGGCCUUGCGCGAUUGAAUGAGCCGAUGUCGGAUUAGCUAGUUGGCGGGGUAAAGGCCCACCAAGGCGACGAUCCGUAGCUGGUCUGAGAGGAUGAUCAGCCACACUGGAACUGAGACACGGUCCAGACUCCUACGGGAGGCAGCAGUGGGGAAUAUUGGACAAUGGGCGCAAGCCUGAUCCAGCCAUACCGCGUGGGUGAAGAAGGCCUUCGGGUUGUAAAGCCCUUUUGUUGGGGAAGGAAUCCAGCUGGUUAAUACCCGGUUGGGAUGACGGUACCCAAAGAAUAAGCACCGGCUAACUUCGUGCCAGCCGCCGCAGUAA
rnacentral:rRNA from 1 species